rnacentral:rRNA from 1 species
UAGUAACUGCGAGUGAAGCGGGAAAAGCUCAAAUUUAAAAUCUGGCGGUCUCUGGCCGUCCGAGUUGUAAUCUAGAGAAGUGCUACCCGCGCUGGACCGUGUACAAGUCUCCUGGAAUGGAGCGUCAUAGAGGGUGAGAAUCCCGUCUCUGACACGGACUACCAGGGCUUUGUGGUACGCUCUCAAAGAGUCGAGUUGUUUGGGAAUGCAGCUCAAAAUGGGUGGUAAAUUCCAUCUAAAGCUAAAUAUUGGCGAGAGACCGAUAGCGAACAAGUACCGUGAGGGAAAGAUGAAAAGAACUUUGGAAAGAGAGUUAAACAGUACGUGAAAUUGCUGAAAGGGAAACGCUUGAAGUCAGUCGCGUUGGCCGGGGAUCAGCCUCGCUUUUGCGUGGUGUACUUUCUGGUUGACGGGUCAGCAUCAAUUUUGACCGCUGGAAAAAGGCUUGGGGAAUGUGGCAGCUUCGGCUGUGUUAUAGCCCUUUGUCACAUACAGCGGUUGGGAUUGAGGAACUCAGCACGCCGCAAGGCCGGGUUUCGACCACGUUCGUGCUUAGGAUGCUGGCAUAAUGGCUUUAAGCGACCCGUCUUGAAACACGGACCAAGGAGUCUAACAUGCCUGCGAGUGUUUGGGUGGAGAACCCGAGCGCGUAAUGAAAGUGAAAGUUGAGAUCCCUGUCGUGGGGAGCAUCGACGCCCGGACCAGAACUUUUGUGACGGAUCCACGGUAGAGCAUGUAUGUUGGGACGCGAAAGAUGGUGAACUAUGCCUGAAUAGGG